rnacentral:tRNA from 1 species
ACCGCGAUAGCUGAGCUGGUGGAGCAUCCGCCCGGUAUGCGGAGGAUCACCGGUUCGAUUCCGGUUUGCGGCG